UACGGAGGGGACUAGCGUUGUUCGGAAUUACUGGGCGUAAAGCGCACGUAGGCGGAUUUGUAAGUCAGGGUUGAAAUCCCGGGGCUCAACCUCGGAACUGCCUUUGAUACUGCAAAUCUCGAGUCCGGAAGAGGUGAGUGGAAUUCCUAGUGUAGAGGUGAAAUUCGUAGAUAUUAGGAAGAACACCAGUGGCGAAGGCGGCUCACUGGUCCGGUACUGACGCUGAGGUGCGAAAGCGUGGGGAGCAAACAGG
rnacentral:rRNA from 1 species